rnacentral:rRNA from 1 species
UAAAACUUUCAACAACGGAUCUCUUGGUUCCGGCAUCGAUGAAGAACGCAGCGAAAUGCGAUACGUAAUGUGAAUUGCAGAAUUCAGUGAAUCAUCGAGUCUUUGAACGCACAUUGCGCCCCCUGGUAUUCCGGGGGGCAUGCCUGUCCGAGCGUCAUU